UACGUAGGGGGCGAGCGUUGUCCGGAAUUACUGGGCGUAAAGGGCGCGUAGGCGGCCGUUUGCGUCGGAUGUGAAAGCCCGGGGCUCAACCCCGGAACGGCAUCCGAUACGGGACGGCUGGAGACCGGGAGAGGAGGGUGGAAUAGCCAGUGUAGAGGUGAAAUUCGUAGAUAUUGGCUGGAACACCGGUGGCGAAAGCGGCUCUCUGGCCCGGUUCUGACGCUGAGGCGCGAAAGCGUGGGGAGCAAACAGG
rnacentral:rRNA from 1 species